ensembl:lncRNA
UUUAAAAGUUGGACACGACUGAGCGACUUCACUUUCACUUUUCACUUUCAUGCAUUGGAGAAGGAAAUGGAAGCCCACUCCAAUGUUCUUGCCUGGAGAAUCCCAGGGACAGGGGAGCCUGGUGGGCUGCUGUCUAUGGGGUCACACAGAGUCGGACACGACUGAAGCGACUUAGCAGCAGCAGCAGCAGCACCUGAAACAACAUGGUCAAAAACGUUGACUUUCUACCUCUUCAGCCUGACUCGAAUUCUGUAGCUGAUAACAGAAAGGAAAGAGGUUUUCUUAGAAAGAAGCCAUGCUGGUCUAGCCUCAGUUCACAGGAGUGUAUAACAUCGUGUCUCCCAUCACAAGACCCCCAUCAGCCUGAGCCCUGAAGGCAAGAAAAGAGAUGAUCCGUCACCAGAGGGAGGGGGAACAGGCAUGGCCUGUGCUUCCCAACAAAACAGCCAUUCCCGGGAAUAAGAGCUUCUCAUGGGGACAGGACACACAUUUAACUGUAUUAACAACAAAGCAGGGCUUCCCCGGCAGCCUAGUUUAAGAAUCCCCCGGCCAAUGCAGGGGACAGGGGUUCAAUCUCUGAUCUGGAAAGAUCCCACAAGGAGUGGAGCAGCUGAGCCUGUGCAUCACAAGUACUGAGCCAAUGUUCUAGAGACCACGAGCCACAGCUACUAAGCACACACACCGCAGCUACUGAGCACACAGACCACAGCUACUGAGCUCACACCACAGGUACUGAGCUCACAGACCACAGGUACUGAGCUCACACAUCACAGGUACUGAGCUCACACACCACAGCUACUGAGCUCACACACCACAGGUACUGAGUGCACACACCACAGCUACUGAGCGCACUCACCGCAGCUACUGAGCUCACACACCACAACUACUGAGUGCACACACCACAUGAUUGAAGUGUGCACACCACAGCUACUGAGCACACACAGAGCAGGUACUGAGCACACAGACCACAGCUACUGAGCGCACAUACUGCAACUACUGAGCACACACACCACAGCUACUGAGCUCACACACCACAGCUACUGAGCGCACACACCACAGCUACUGAGUGCACACACCACAGCUACUGAGUGCACACACCACAGUUACUGAGCAUACACCCCAGCUACUGAGCAUGCACCACAGCUACUGAGUGCACACACCACAGCUACUAAGUGCAUACCACAGCUACUGAGUGCAUACCACAGCUACUGAGCACACACACUGCAACUAGUGAGCACACACACCACAGCUACUGAGCUCACACACUGCAGGUACUGAGCACACACCACAGCUACUGAGCACACACAACUGUAGAGUGCACACACCACAGCUACUGAGCGCACACACCACACCCACUGAGCACACACCACACCCACUGAGCACACACCACACCCACUGAGCACACACCACACCCACUGAGCACACACCACAGCUCCUGAGUGCACACACCACACGACUGAAGUGUGCACACCUACAGCCUGUACUCUAACAAGAUAAGUGACCACAAUAAGAAG